rnacentral:rRNA from 1 species
AGAUUGAACGCUAGCGGCAUGCCUAACACAUGCAAGUCGAACGGUAACAGGCCCUUCGGGGUGCUGACGAGUGGCGGACGGGUGAGUAAGGCAUCGGAAUCUGCCCUGAUGUGGGGGAUAACGUUAGGGAAACUUACGCGUAAUACCGCAUUACGACCCGAGAGGUGAAAGCGGGGGACCGAAAGGCCGUCGCGCAGCAGGAUGAGCCGAUGUCCCGAGUUAGCUAGUUGGUGGGGUAACGGCCUACCAAGGCGACGAUCGGUAGCU